GACGAACGCUGGCGGCGUGCUUAACACAUGCAAGUCGAACGGAAAGGCCCUGCUUUUGUGGGGUGCUCGAGUGGCGAACGGGUGAGUAACACGUGAGUAACCUGCCCUUGACUUUGGGAUAACUUCAGGAAACUGGGGCUAAUACCGGAUAGGAGCUCCUGCUGCAUGGUGGGGGUUGGAAAGUUUCGGCGGUUGGGGAUGGACUCGCGGCUUAUCAGCUUGUUGGUGGGGUAGGUGCUUACCAAGGCUUUGACGGGUAGCCGGCCUGAGAGGGUGACCGGCCACAUGGGGACUGAGAUACGGCCCAGACUCCUACGGGAGGCAGCAGUGGGGGAUAUUGCACAAUGGGCGGAAGCCUGAUGCAGCAACGCCGCGUGCGGGAUGACGGCCUUCGGGUUGUAAACCGCUUUCGCCUGUGACGAAGAGUGAGUGACGGUAAUGGGUAAAGAAGCACCGGCUAACUACGUG
rnacentral:rRNA from 1 species